CGAAAAACUCGCAGGUG
rnacentral:miRNA from 1 species